rnacentral:rRNA from 1 species
UGUGGGUUGUGAAUAACAAUCCGUGCCGUCGCAAACGCAAUAAGUACCCCGCCUGAGGAGUACGAUCGCAAGAUUAAAACUCAAAGGAAUUGACGGGGACCCGCACAAGCAGCGGAGCAUGUGGUUUAAUUCGAAGCAACGCGAAGAACCUUACCUAAACUUGACAUACCUUGAAUUACCUUGUAAUGAGGGAAGCUCGCAAGAGCAAGGAUACAGGUGGUGCAUGGUUGUCGUCAGCUCGUGUCGUGAGAUGUUGGGUUAAGUCCCGCAACGAGCGCAACCCUUGUUGUUAAUUGCUAACAGGUUAAGCUGAGCACUUUAGCGAGACAGCCUAGGUUAACUAGGAGGAAGGUGGGGAUGACGUCAAAUCAUCAUGCCCCUUACGUUUAGGGCUACACACGUGCUACAAUGGUGAGAACAAAGAGAAGCAAGCUAGCGAUAGUGAGCAAAACUUAUAAAACUCAUCUCAGUUCGGAUUGCAGGCUGAAACUCGCCUGUAUGAAGAUGGAGUUGCUAGUAAUCGCGAAUCAGAAUGUCGCGGUGAAUACGUUCCCGGGUCUUGUACACACCGCCCGUCACACCAUGAGAGUUGGCAACACCCGAAGCUGUGGGCUAACC